CUCCUCUUCCUCCUCCUCCUCCUCCUCAACUCUCCGCGGCCGCCGCUGAAAAUGUCCACAGAGGAUCGAGUUACACUACGCCCCAUCUUUAAGCCCCGGUCCGCGGGGCAGUGCGCCGUUAGCCAGCAGCACAACCAGAGGACAGGGCCGCGGGACGCACCGGGCUUCGCACUCAUGCCUUGAAAAAGGGAAGCGCUCCAAAUUGUUGUUAAUGGGGAGAAACCACAUUCCACUGCAGUUCUAACAAUGAUAGAAACAAUGGAGAUGUAUGGGUCUGACUGUCAAACGCGGAGCCAAAUGAGCGCCGCCGUCUCCUUUCGUUUCAGUGGUCACUCUCACAGCCGGCCUUAUGACCACGUGCUUACUGUGGAAGUGAGACUUAGUCACAGUUGAUGGAAGUUAGAGUAUUUGCGCGGCGUGUACAGUUACAAGAGGGCUUUAUAAAACGUGCUUUUGAUUUGGGCGGACCACGAUGUAGAGAGAAGGCAUUGAUGCAAUACGAUAAUUAGCAGCUUUAAAUGGAAUUGGGUUGUGAUUCAAUUAUUAUUAUCAUGAGCACAUGUUCACCCAAAUUUCUCAAAGUCUGAUAAAGCUCACUCUAAAUUAAACUAUUUCCGUAAUCCAAUUUCUGCAUGUGCUUGCAUAUAAGUCAGUGUAUAGCUGUAAAUAUCAUACAUCUUCUCUUUAAUUUCAUUUGUAACUGUCUUGUUAAUUCAAAAUGUUUAUUACAUGAGAACAUUUAUGGUGUUUUUCUUGUGUCGAGCAUUAAAAAACAUGCUAUAACGUUACAGACACCGUCAUCAAGAUAUGAAAUGUCCCAACGUUGCUGAUUGAUUGAUGCACAGAAGUCAUGAUAUUACUAUUUGAAAUUGAAUGCUACUGGCUUACGUGAG
ensembl:lncRNA